GCCUCCGUGGCUCAAUGGCAGAGCGGCGGUUUUGUAAACCGCAGGUCGUGGGUUCAAUUCCCAUCGGAGGCU
rnacentral:tRNA from 1 species